rnacentral:miRNA from 1 species
UAACUAUUGAACUGUUCUGUCAAA